rnacentral:rRNA from 1 species
UACGGGGGGAGCAAGCGUUGUUCGGAUUUACUGGGCGUAAAGGGCGCGUAGGCGGCCACCGCAAGUCAAUUGUGAAAUCUCCGGGCUUAACUCGGAAAGGUCAACUGAUACUGCGGGGCUAGAGUGCGGAAGGGGCAACUGGAAUUCUCGGUGUAGCGGUGAAAUGCGUAGAUAUCAUGGAGGAACACCAGUGGCGAAGGCAGC